AAAUUGAAGAGUUUGAUCAUGGCUCAGAUUGAACGCUGGGGGCAGGCCUAACACAUGCAAGUCGAACGGUAACAGGAAGCAGCUUGCUGCUUCGCUGACGAGUGGCGGACGGGUGAGUAAUGUCUGGGAAACUGCCUGAUGGAGGGGGAUAACUACUGGAAACGGUG
rnacentral:rRNA from 1 species